UAAGCGGAGGAAAAGAAACUAACAAGGAUUCCCCUAGUAACUGCGAGUGAAGCGGGAAAAGCUCAAAUUUAAAAUCUGGUGGUCUUUGGCCAUCCGAGUUGUAAUUUAGAGAAGCGUCUUCCGCGCUGGACCGUGCACAAGUCUCCUGGAAUGGAGCGUCAUAGAGGGUGAGAAUCCCGUCUUUGGCACGGAUGUACCAGGGCUUUUGUGAUGCGCUCUCGAAGAGUCGAGUUGUUUGGGAAUGCAGCUCAAAAUGGGUGGUGAACUCCAUCUAAAGCUAAAUAUUGGCGAGAGACCGAUAGCGAACAAGUACCGUGAGGGAAAGAUGAAAAGCACUUUGGAAAGAGAGUGAAACAGUACGUGAAAUUGUUGAAAGGGAAACGCUUGAAGUCAGUCGCGUCGACCGAGACUCAGCCUUGCCUCGGCUUGGUGUACUUCUCGGCUGACGGGUCAGCAUCAAUUUUGCCCCUUGGAUAAUGGCGAGGGAAAUGUGACACCUUCACGGUGUGUUAUAGUCUUUCGUCGCAUGCAAGGGUUGGGAUUGAGGAACUCAGCACG
rnacentral:rRNA from 1 species